GCCAGACGGUGGUGCGCACCUGUAGUCCCAGCUCCAUGGGAGGCUGAGACAGGAGGAUCACUUGAGUCCAGGAGUUCUGGGCUGCAGUGUGCUAUGCUGAUUGGGUGUCUGCACUAAGUUCAGCAUUAAUAUGGUGACCUCCCCGGAGCAGGGGGCCACUAGGUUGCCUAAGGAUGGGUCAACUGGCCCAGGUCGGAAAUGGAGCAAGUCAAAACUCCCAUGCUUAUCAGUAGUGGGAUAGCCACUGCAUUCCAGCCUGGGCAAUAUAGUGAGACCCCAUCUCUU
rfam:Otolemur garnettii contig121526, whole genome shotgun sequence.